AUUGAACGCUGGCGGCAUGCCUUACACAUGCAAGUCGGGCGGUAACACAGGGAGCUUGCUCCUGGGUGACGAGCGGCGGACGGGUGAGUAAUGUCUGGGAAACUGCCUGAUGGAGGGGGAUAACUACUGGAAACGGUAGCUAAUACCGCAUAACGUCGCAAGACCAAAGAGGGGGACCUUCGGGCCUCUUGCCAUCAGAUGUGCCCAGAUGGGAUUAGCUAGUAGGUGGGGUAACGGCUCACCUAGGCGACGAUCCCUAGCUGGUCUGAGAGGAUGACCAGCCACACUGGAACUGAGACACGGUCCAGACUCCUACGGGAGGCAGCAGUGGGGAAUAUUGCGCAAUGGGCGAAAGCCUGACGCAGCGACGCCGCGUGGAGGAUGAAGGUCUUCGGACUGUAAACUUCUGUUAAGUGGGAAAAAAGACUCGUCUUUAAUAGAGGCGAGGGAUGAUUGUACCAUUAGAGAAAGCACUGGCUAACUUCGUGCCAGCAGCCGCGGUAAUAC
rnacentral:rRNA from 1 species